CACGUAGGGGGCGAGCGUUGUCCGGAUUUAUUGGGCGUAAAGAGCUCAUAGGCGGCUCAGUAAGUCAGGUGUGAAACCUCCAGGCUCAACCUGGAGACGCCACCUGAUACUGCUGUGGCUUGAGUCCGGUAGGGGAGUGUGGAAUUCCUGGUGUAGCGGUGAAAUGCGCAGAUAUCAGGAGGAACACCGGUGGCGAAGGCGGCGUUCUGGACUGCAACUGACACUGAGGAACGAAAGCCAGGGGAGCAAACGGG
rnacentral:rRNA from 1 species